GGCCGAUUCGACUGCUCGAGAUGUGAUCGGCGGUGAGACUGUGAGGAAAUUUUUGGGCUUUCUCAGUCGUCACUUCUCUCGAAUUGGAGCUCAAACACUUUCUUCAACCCUUAUCCCAUUCGAACACAACCCCACCAAUCUUUCUUUGUUUGGAGGGAGUUUCUAAGGUGAACCAUUCCUAGGGAAUUUCGGGAAAGAAUGAUGAAGACAUGUAUUCAGAGCCAUCUAUUCUUUGUGCAAGGCAGGUGUGAUCACAUAGAGUAAAGAUGUAACAUUCAUGGCUAAUGGUUAUAUUCUAUGAAGGCUUGACAUAUUUGACAGAGUAUGGGAAGCAAAAAUACGUACACAAUCCAAAUUUCCAUGUUGACAGUUCUGUUCAGGGACUAUACUAGGAGGAUUGGCUGGUGGAAUAUACCUUGCUUAUACUAUCUAAGUCUUUAAAAUCGAAUUCAGAAUUUUCUGUAGGGUGAUUUAUACUUGCUUUGUAUUCUUCAGGCUUUAUGACAUAUCUUGCAACUCCCUUGGAUGUGAUCAAAACAAGAUUGCAAAUACUGGGGUCAAAGGUGCAAUGGCUGCUUGGAUGCAGUUUGUAGCAUAUAAAUGGUUAAAGAUGCACAUGGGAUGUUUAGAGGUAGCAAUCUCAGGAUCACCCAAUGUUACAAGCAAUGAAAGAAGAUUAGGCAAUGUUGCAAGCAGGAAGUUGCUAGCAUGUAGUGGAGGAAUAGGGAUCACAUUUACAAAGGAGCGGUGUGAGAAACUUGCACUGAAUACUUUUAUUUUCCCAUCUCAUGUUAGUUUGAUUAAGAAAUUGGGUCUUUUUCAUGUA